rnacentral:tRNA from 1 species
GGCUCAGUAGCUUAGUUGGUAAAGCGCUCGUCUAGCAUACAAGAGUCCUGGGUUCGAAUCCCAGCCGAGCAC